rnacentral:lncRNA from 1 species
UGGAAUGUUGGUGUUUUUGUUGAAAAAAUAUUAGUGACCAUGUAUUAGAAUGAUUAAUCGAGAUUUGAAUACUUUAACUAUUCUAGAAAGAUUCUUAGUUGGAUAUAUUUUGUUUGUUUGGAUUUUAAAGAUACUUUGAAUUAGAAAUAUAUUUUGGUUUGUUUGUUAAUUUAUGUAUGCUUGGUGAUAAUUUGAAUUGUGAAAUGUAAAAAAUUGUCAUAUAAAUAGUGGAUGGAUUUUGCUAGAUAGAUUGCUGAAACUGCGACAAAACUGUUCAUUGCUAAUAUAUGAUUGCUGGUAUAUAUUGAUAGAUAAAUUUACGACCAUAUUAUUGGUCGCAAAAUAU